GCAUUAUUACUUUGCAGCUCCGUGACAUCGUACGUUUUCUCUAAAAUAUUGUGGCAUGUGAAAAAUUGUGAAAAAGUUAUUGUGAAAAAGUUGUGAAAAAUUUCUUAAAUUUAAUAAAUUUUGUGAAAGAAACUAGGAAAGGUGCUCCACCAGGCCACUGAAGAACACUUGAACGUGUGAAAUCCUGGCGAAUGCUGGUGCAUCCGCGGAAGCUUACCUGUGCAGAGGCGUGGCAGCUUGACAAUUCAUUUGCAUUUCAAACGUCGCCAAUUGUGGCGCACAUAACCCAUGCAUGCAUGUGUGUGUGUGUGCCUCCCCUGCAGUACCAAAAAAUCACUAAGGAAAAUAUUCCUCAACGAUAGAGAGGGACACACUGAGAAAAGAGUGAGAUGCAACGUCUUUAAAAACAAUAGAAAAUGCAAAGACAGUCGAUGAGAGAAAAAAAUUCUCUCAGCAAAGUAAGUGAGCGGAGAGGGAGAGUAUGAUCACAUAUUCUUGGGUUUCUAAAUAUUUUUCGCGUGAAACUUUAACCCAAUGGUUCAAUGGUUAAGAUGUCUGCCUGUUAAUCCUAGAUCGUUGGUUCGAUUCCCACCGGAAGACUAUGAAUAUUAUGAGUUUUCUUUAUGUUUACUUUUAUUUAUUUUUUAAUAUCGCAACCUCAAUAUAAAAUUUUACAUUUAUUCUUUUUUUUAAAUGGGGAUUUAAAAAAUAAUUGAGAUUGAUUGAUAUAUACACCUUUGUAGAGUCAUAUUAUUGUCAAUCGCAGUCUACGCGCGAUUCCUUGAUAGCUUAGAGGCUUGCAUGUUGGUCUAUUAAACAAAAGCACGGAGGUUCGAAUCCCAGUCCAGGCGAAAGUAAGUAAAAAUAAUACAAUGUAGUUUAUGAUAUUUGUAAAAUGUUUCUUAACAUUUAAACUCGUUUACGAUUUGCGAAAACAAAUUAAUACAUAAAAACAUUGGUGUGGUGGGUUUCUAAAAAUAGACAAUGAUUUUUUUUCAAAAUGUCUUUCCAGGGAUUUUUUUGCAAAAAAUGACCAAGGAGUUCUUUGAUGAGUUCUUUGCAAAGAAUACCAAAUACCUUCCCUAGGAUUUCUUUGCAGGUAUUCCUGGGGAAAUUCCCUAACCAGUUAGGGAGAAAAUUCCCCAGGUCACCGAUGCAUAGGACAUCCCAUACAAAAAUUCCUUAACGAAUUUCAUAUACCAGCACUGGGGAAUUCCUAAUGCAUGGUGAGCAGGUAAUGGAGAGUUCCACAAGGAACUCCUCAACACUGGAACUGCAGGGUCAUUAUGCGUUGCAAUUAUGAUGUUGCAACUACAAGGAUGGCAACAACAACAGUUACUGGAAAAACGAGCCACGAGAAGGAGAACAAGAACGCCAGCGAAUUGCAGGCUGCACUUCAGGCAGCAAGUUGCAACAUCGUUGUUGCACCGCUGCAGUCUCAACAAGCAGAGCAAAAAGUAUGUUGACAACCCCGUGUACAACGAAAAAAAAAAUGGAGGUGUCAUUAAUGGAAAUCGACUAAUGUUAUGCCCUAUAAAUUAAUCUCUUGACAUAAGAUUUUAUGAUCCCCUUCUAGGGUAUGACAACUACGAGAGUAACGAGAUUAACAAGCUGCAACUACUAGGCGAGGCAACCAGUCAGACCAGGCGAGGAAAAUCUAGAGUCGAGGCAGGAGACUUGGAUUGACAAGCGACCCAGGCGCAUUAUAAAACUUGAGUACCAUGGACCACCCUGCAAUUGAAAUCGGCUCAAUUGUGUGUAGGCUCCACGGUUCAGCAACAUCAGGGAAUCCGAUUCCGAUCAGAUGGAGUCCCACAUCCAUGUCCAAUCAUCCACUGAAAAUGGGGGGCGGCCCCGGAAGCUGUUCGCUUUUUCAUUUGUGGCAAGAAAAAAUGGCGUUUGUGGCUUGGGCCUGGUCUAACACCCAGCACUCAAGCCAAAACCGCAAAAACAACAAGGCAUUUGAUGGUCAAAUAUACCUCUACCGCAUACAACUGCCAUGAAUCACCAUCACCUGGCUGAAUGGAACGGAACGGAUCGGAUGGGAUCAGUGGUGUUCUGGUUUGGGUAGUGGCUUCGCCUCCGGCAGAGGAGGAACAUCCAUCAAUGUGCCGUUGACAUUUGCUUGGACCGCUGACAAGAAUUGUCACAAUAAACAAUACAACCACGACGACAACGACAACAACAAGAAUAAUUCAGGCAGCGAAGAGGACACGUGACGUGAUCUGGAAGGGAGACCAAGUUCGGGAUGGGAUUCGGAAAACAGGAGUUGGUAAAGGAAUCAGCCUGAUGAUUAGUUCGAUUCUUUAAGGAUUCGCGGAUUCUUCAAGGAAUUAUUCAAUGAUGUUGGGAAGUAUAUUUUAUUAAAUAUUCUUUAAAUGCUUUCACUAAAAUAUUCUUAAAAGGAGAUCAUAUAUGCGUAGAGUAGUUUUUAGAAUAAGCUUUAGUCUUUUCAGAAAUUAAAAGCAAGGAUUUAAGUGGGUAAGUUGGAAAAAUGUUUAUAAAAUAUAUCCAUCGAGUAGUAAGGCCAUUUAAUAACAAAUGAAAGUGUUUUUUAUUUACAAUUUUAGUUCCAACUAUUUUUAAUGAACGUUCACCUUUGGUUAUUUAGUUUUCCUCUCUCGAGUCUUUUGUAUGUAAAUGCAUGUUUUCAUUUGAUUGACUCACUUUUGUGAGUUGCCUGUCCAGGUUGCAGAUACUCUAACCCCUCCCCACCUGCCAGCCUGCCCCACCCCGGUGUGGCCAGUGCAAACAAAUCAACGACUUAAACCACUUGUCAACAUGCGAGUUGCAAAGUAUUUAAACAAAGCGUUGACAAGUGAAUGAAUGGCCAUUGGAUUGGUCGCCAGGCUGCGACUCUGAAACUGCCUGAAAGUCAAGUGCUGUUGUGGCUGGUCAGUUUCAUUUACGCGCUCAAAUAUUUGUCUACAGAAUGCCUCAGCGCAAGUGCUGAUCUCUUGUGCACACGAAUUUUUCCAAAGAGACGAUCUCGCCGUUUGAUGUGGGCGGCAGCAUUGACAAUCGAUUAGGUUCCCCCCAGCCAGCUACUGGCAGCAAAAAAAUUUAAAUAAUAAUACAGAAACACACCAGCAAGUAAACAAAUAAGAAACACCGAAAAGGUGUUGACAUGACGAGAAGUUCGGAACUGAUCUCCUGGGUGCGGCAUCGUGUGUGGGCGCCGCCUGCUGAUUUUUGGCACCUUUUUUGGGGCACGAACGGGGGCGGAGUGUUUGUCGUUUGACAAUUAGCAUAUUAGCGCGUUGGCUUCACUCGGGCGCCACUACUUAUAAAUUCAUCAUAUCCUUUAAAAAUUCAGUGGAGUCUUUUUUUAAAUUACGAAAAUGUGAAGAAAUGGCACUAAUGGCCACAUA